rfam:Microvirga aerilata strain BSC39 scf7180000028500, whole genome shotgun sequence.
GUCAUGGGGACCGCGAUCUCCCCACGAGGCGACAUGCCCAAGCAUCGCAUCCGCACCAGACACUCACGGAUGCAUCAUG